UACGGAGGGGGCUAGCGUUGUUCGGAAUUACUGGGCGUAAAGCGCACGUAGGCGGCUUUGUAAGUUAGAGGUGAAAGCCCGGGGCUCAACUCCGGAAUUGCCUUUAAGACUGCAUCGCUAGAAUUGUGGAGAGGUAAGUGGAAUUCCGAAUGUAGAGGUGAAAUUCGUAGAUAUUCGGAAGAACACCAGUGGCGAAGGCGACUUACUGGACACAUAUUGACGCUGAGGUGCGAAAGCGUGGGGAGCAAACAGG
rnacentral:rRNA from 1 species